CCCUCCCAUUGCAAAAGAAUCUCUUUCUUCCUCAGUCUCUCCCAAACUCAACGAAGAUGAGUAGCCGUGCAAGUCGAACUCUUUACGUUGGUAACUUACCUGGUGAUAUUCGUGAAAGAGAAGUUGAUGAUUUGUUUUACAAGUAUGGACCCAUUGUUGAAAUCGAUUUGAAGGUUCCACCAAGACCUCCAGGUUAUGCUUUUGUUGAGUUUGAAGAUGCUCGUGAUGCUGAAGAUGCUAUCCGUGGUCGCGAUGGAUACAACUUUGAUGGUCACCGAUUGAGGGUGGAGCUUGCACAUGGUGGAAGAGGACAAGCAUCGUCAGUGGAUAGGCGUAGCAGUUAUAAUGGUGGUGGGGGUGGUCGAGGAGGUGUAUCUAGGCACUCAGAUUACCGUGUCUUGGUAUCUGGAUUACCUUCUUCUGCUUCAUGGCAAGAUUUGAAGGAUCAUAUGCGCCGAGCAGGGGAUGUCUGUUUCUCCCAAGUGUUUCGUGAGGGUGGAGGCACAACUGGGAUUGUGGAUUACACAAACUAUGACGACAUGAAGUAUGCCAUCAGAAAACUCGAUGACUCUGAGUUCAGAAAUGCUUUCUCCAAAGCCUACAUUCGGGUCAAGGAGUAUGAUUCCAAGAGGAGCUUAUCAAGGAGCCGCAGCCGUAGCCGAUCUGACUCGAGGAGCAGAAGCCCCAAGCGUAGUCGCUGCAAAACCCGAAGCAGGAGCAAAAGCAAAUCUCCAAAGCCCAAAUCUUCUCGUCGAUCUGUAUCUAGGUCCAGAUCUAGAUCCAGAUCUGUUUCUUCACGGUCACGCUCGGGAUCAAAGCAUCGCUCGCUCUCAAGAUUUGGCUUAAUGCGGCGAUUGGGGAUUGCACAUUAGGGGCUUGAUGGGAUGUGGUGCAAAAUGCCUGCAACUCUUUUGUUUGUGGUGGUUUAGUGGACAGCUUGGGAAACCUCAAUGGCAUAUUAAUUUUAAUGUUGUGCAACUUGAAGCUUAAGUGGGACAUGAAAGAUGAUGGUAUUUUAGAGAUGGCUUAAGUAAUUGGAUAUAUGGACGCACCAUGAAUCAGCUGUAGGAAUAGAAUUCAAAUUCCCUUUUUUUCUUGGAAUCUGCACAGGCUUAAUAGGAUUGCGCCCAGGAAUUCCUUGGACCUCCAUGAGGCGUCGAGGAUUUUGGAUCAAAGGUGUUUUGGAAACGUUGUGGAUAUUGAAUUGGGUUGUUUCUGGAACUUUUUGCAGAUCCCGUUCGAGGUCCAAGUCGCCAGUACUCUCUCCUCGCGGCAAACAUGUGAGUAAAAGCCCUAAAAAGCGGAGUCCCAGUCGUAGCAAGAGUCCAAUCAAGAGCAAGAGUCGAAGCCUUAGCCCUAGCUAAAACUAAUAUCAG